rnacentral:rRNA from 1 species
UCUCAAAGACUAAGCCAUGCAUGUGUAAGUAUACAUGAUAUACAGUGAAACUGCAAAUGGCUCAUUAAAACAGUUAUAGUUUAUUUGAUAGAUGUAUUAUAUGGAUAACCGUAGUAAUUCUAGAGCUAAUACAUGCUUGAAAGCCUUACUCUUGUGGAAGGGCUGUAUUUAUUAGAUAAAGACCAACAAUAAGUGGUGAUUCAUAAUAACUGAUCGAAUCGCAUGGGCAAUGCCAGCGAUAAAUCAUUCAAGUUUCUGCCCUAUCAGCUUUCGAUGGUAGUGUAUUGGACUACCAUGGCGUUAACGGGUAACGGAGAAUUAGGGUUCGAUUCCG